UGGGGAAUUUUGGACAAUGGGCGAAAGCCUGAUCCAGCAAUGCCGCGUGUGUGAAGAAGGCCUUCGGGUUGUAAAGCACUUUUGUCCGGAAAGAAAUGGCUCUGGUUAAUACCUGGGGUCGAUGACGGUACCGGAAGAAUAAGGACCGGCUAACUACGUGCCAGCAGCCGCGGUAAUACGUAGGGUCCAAGCGUUAAUCGGAAUUACUGGGCGUAAAGCGUGCGCAGGCGGUUGUGCAAGACCGAUGUGAAAUCCCCGAGCUUAACUUGGGGAUUGCAUUGGUGACUGCACGGCUAGAGUGUGUCAGAGGGGGGUAGAAUUCCACGUGUAGCAGUGAAAUGCGUAGAGAUGUGGAGGAAUACCGAUGGCGAAGGCAGCCCCCUGGGAUAACACUGACGCUCAUGCACGAAAGCGUGGGGAGCAAACAGGAUUAGAUACCCUGGUAGUCCACGCCCUAAACGAUGUCAACUAGUUGUUGGGGAUUCAUUUCCUUAGU
rnacentral:rRNA from 1 species